AUUGAACGCUGGCGGCAGGCCUAACACAUGCAAGUCGAACGGUAAGGCCCUUCGGGGUACACGAGUGGCGAACGGGUGAGUAACACGUGGGUGAUCUGCCCUGCACUUCGGGAUAAGCCUGGGAAACUGGGUCUAAUACCGGAUAGGACCCUGGGAUGCAUGUCCUGGGGUGGAAAGCUUUUGCGGUGUGGGAUGGGCCCGCGGCCUAUCAGCUUGUUGGUGGGGUGAUGGCCUACCAAGGCGACGACGGGUAGCCGGCCUGAGAGGGUGACCGGCAACACUGGGACGGAGAUACGGCCCAGACUCCUACGGGAGGCAGCAGUGGGGAAUAUUGCUCAAUGGGCGCAAGCCUGAUGCAGCGACGCCGCGUGAGGGAUGACGGCCUUCGGGUUGUAAACCUCUUUCAGCACCGACGAAGCGCAAGUGACGGUAGGUGCAGAAGAAGGACCGGCCAACUACGUGCCAGCCGCCGCCGUAA
rnacentral:rRNA from 1 species